rnacentral:rRNA from 1 species
ACGGAAGGCAGCAGUGGGGAAUAUUGGGCAAUGGAGGCAACUCUGACCCAGCAACGCCGCGUGAAUGAGGAAGGCCUUCGGGUUGUAAAGUUCCUUAAUUGGGGACGAAGAAAGUGACGGUACCCAAAGAAUAAGCCACGGCUAACUACGUGCCAGCAGCCGCGGUAAUACGUAGGUGGCAAGCGUUGUCCGGAAUGACUGGGCGUAAAGGGAGCGUAGGCGGCAAUACAAGUUAGGAGUGAAAUCCCGAGGCUUAACCUCGGAACUGCUUUUAAAACUGUAAUGCUUGAGUGAUGGAGAGGAGAGCGGAAUUCCUAGUGUAGCGGUGGAAUGCGUAGAUAUUAGGAGGAACACCAGAGGCGAAGGCGGCUUUCUGGACAUUAACUGACGCUGAGGCUCGAAAGUGUGGGGAGCAAACAGGAUUAGAUACCCUGGUA